AGCGUAUUCCAGACUGGAUGUCCGUCUUCACCUCCACCACCCCAACCUUCCCUGCCUCUGUGUUUCCUGCCUCAGGGAGCAGAAGCCUGAUUUUUAGCCAGCAGUGGCCCCAGAAUGUCCAAUGGAAGGAGGUCAGGGACCUGUCCAGUGGGAGACCAGGGGACGUGCCUUAAAGCAGCAAAGAAGAUAAGGCCUAAUCAGCUACAGCUGGGAAUUCUACAUUGACCUUCAACAAGACCACCUGGAGCCAGCCACUGAUACCCCCUCCAGUCCUCCUCAUUCUUGAAAGCCUGCAGUGUCCACAAGUAGACAGAAAAACAGACUCCAAGGACAAUUUCCCAUCUCCUCUGAUAAGAGAGGCCACAUCCGAACCAGCCACUGCCAGCCUGCAGAGCCCGCACAGUAGCACACCUUAGUAUACGUUUGCUCACUGUGCAUGUGUACAGCCUCCUUCAUACAUAUUCACAGCAUUCCUCUAAGCUCACUGAACAUGCGUGUGAACCUGAUUCUAGGGGGCGUAAAUACCAGCCUCCUCCCCUUCCUGGGUGGAGUGCUUAGCCUCUGUCUUGCUGAGGCCUCUGCUUCUCAAUCUGCAGAUUGCUUUUUUUCUGGAAAAUAAAGUUGCCAUUUUCUCUCA